UCGAGCGAACAGACGAGGAGCUUGCUCCUCUGACGUUAGCGGCGGACGGGUGAGUAACACGUGGAUAACCUACCUAUAAGACUGGGAUAACUUCGGGAAACCGGAGCUAAUACCGGAUAACAUGUUGAACCGCAUGGUUCAACAGUGAAAGACGGUCUUGCUGUCACUUAUAGAUGGAUCCGCGCCGCAUUAGCUAGUUGGUAAGGUAACGGCUUACCAAGGCAACGAUGCGUAGCCGACCUGAGAGGGUGAUCGGCCACACUGGAACUGAGACACGGUCCAGACUCCUACGGGAGGCAGCAGUAGGGAAUCUUCCGCAAUGGGCGAAAGCCUGACGGAGCAACGCCGCGUGAGUGAAGAAGGUCUUCGGAUCGUAAAACUCUGUUAUUAGGGAAGAACAAAUGUGUAAGUAACUAUGCACGUCUUGACGGUACCUAAUCAGAAAGCCACGGCUAACUACGUGCCAGCAGCCGCGGUAAUACGUAGGUGGCAAGCGUUAUCCGGAAUUAUUGGGCGUAAAGCGCGCGUAGGCGGUUUUUUAAGUCUGAUGUGAAAGCCCACGGCUCAACCGUGGAGGGUCAUUGGAAACUGGAAAACUUGAGUGCAGAAGAGGAAAGUGGAAUUCCAUGUGUAGCGGUGAAAUGCGCAGAGAUAUGGAGGAACACCAGUGGCGAAGGCGACUUUCUGGUCUGUAACUGACGCUGAUGUGCGAAAGCGUGGGGAUCAAACAGGAUUAGAUACCCUGGUAGUCCACGCCGUAAACGAUGAGUGCUAAGUGUUAGGGGGUUUCCGCCCCUUAGUGCUGCAGCUAACGCAUUAAGCACUCCGCCUGGGGAGUACGACCGCAAGGUUGAAACUCAAAGGAAUUGACGGGGACCCGCACAAGCGGUGGAGCAUGUGGUUUAAUUUCGAAGCAACGCGAAGAACCUUACCAAAUCUUGACAUCCUCUGACCCCCUCUAGAGAUAGAGUUUUCCCCUUCGGGGGGACAGAGUGACAGUGGUGCAUGAUUGUCGUCAGCUCGUGUCGUGAGAUGUUGAGCUAAGUACCGCAUCGAGC
rnacentral:rRNA from 1 species